rnacentral:rRNA from 1 species
UACGGAGGGGGCAAGCGUUGUUCGGAUUUACUGGGCGUAAAGGGCGCGUAGGCGGCGUGACAAGUCACUUGUGAAAUCUCCGGGCUUAACCCGGAGCGGCCAAGUGAUACUGUUGUGCUAGAGUGCGGAAGGGGCUACUGGAAUUCUCGGUGUAGCGGUGAAAUGCGUAGAUAUCGAGAGGAACGCCUGCGGCGAAGGCGGGUAGCUGGGCCGACACUGACGCUGAGGCGCGAAAGCCAGGGGAGCGAACAGG